CUCUGCCCCUCCCCUGCUCACACUGUCUGUCCCUGUCUCUCAAAAGUAAAACAUUAAAUUAAAAAAAAAAAUUAAAAAAUAAAUGAAUUUCUCAACACCGGGGACCAUGUUUAUUUCCCUCCCCAGAAGACUGGGAAGCUUUCUGAUGUUCUGUCCCCUCUCUGGCUUGUACCUGAAUGUCCAGCCCAGAUGGCCAGGUUCUGCAUGAAGGAGAGAAUGAGAACAGAGCACUUGCUGAGUGACCUAGAGAUUCCCAUCCAAGAGUCCCUGCAUUUGACUUGCUCGAAGCCCUCUCUCUGGGAGCCAUCCUGAUGGUGCCUUUGCCACUGCAGACCUCUGCUGGGCAUUUCCCACAGUGGAGGAAGAGGAGAAAGAAGCUGUGACCUCGGGCAACUUAUGCCCGAGGCAACUUUUCUGUGAUUCCAAAUCUACUCCCUGGGGUCGUUUUGAGAAAUGGGUUAACAUCAGCAUCUCCCAGCACCGCCCGGCCCACGGUAAGCAUCUGCAAAUAUGAGUUGCUGUAUUCUCACUGUGGUUAUGAUCCCUGCCCAGCCCGGGGAUGGUAUUGGUGUUCCUCUGCUGAAAGAAAAUGCUCUAUGUGAGGGAGCUCUUGCCUGGCUGAGGCUGUGUGUCGACUCCUGAACCUGUCCAGCCCCAGGGACAGCCUCACCUCCCUUGAAGCCCGCCGCACUUCUUACUUGGCAAGAUGGUCUUAUAUCGGUCCUUGGAGGCGUGGCCAGGAAUAUCCAGGUCUUCAGAGUUGACAAAGUUUGAGGGGAUCUUCUGGCAGAGGGAGGAAAUGAGUGAAUAUAGCCGAUACAUCUUCCCAGCCUCCUUUGCCCCCUACCCCCCUUAUCUAGUAGAGCUGGGCCCUUGCUCUUCUCUCCUGGCUUCAGUAGGUCUGGAUGGGGUGGGGGGCAGAAGAGGGAGCAUGGGGCAGUUUUCUCCCCUGAUCCUAGGGUUCUCUUUCCUGAGGUCCCAGAGAGGAGGCAUCCUGCAGUACCCAAGAUAGUAUGGUGCCAGCUGGCUGUCUCUGAUUCAGAAGGGCGGAUGGACUCCGAGGAGACCCCAAGUUCUUACCAGGAAUUCCUCUUCCAGCUGCUUGGGGCUGGGUGGCUGGUGCUGCAGGGCCCAGCGGGUGAGGGGGUGUCCAGCUGUGCGCAGAAAGUGUAGGGUGACCUCCCGGGGUGUGUUCACUGAGCAAAUGGGCUCUACAGCUCCCAGGGACCGCACAUCCAGCAUCAGAGCCACAUUGGAGCCUCGCCUGCAGGCACGGACAACCAGUGCCUAGUGAGUGCCCAAGAACAUCGCUGCUCUAACCAUUAUUAUUGUUCUAGGGCAUGCCUGAGGAGGCUGCUCCUUGUUUCCCCCUUGACCCACAGGCCCAGUGGGCUCCAGGUUCAGGACCCUGCUACGUGCCCUUCUUUUGUCAGAUCGGGGCAGCCUUGAACCCAACUGUUCUCUCCACCUGCCCACCCCUGCCCAUUCCUCCCUGGCCUCCAAAGGUCAGACCUACAUCCAGACCCAAGAAAGCCCUGCUCCAGGGGCUGGCUACUCAGCCCAUCUUGGGGUUUGGGAAACAGGCACGAGGUUGACGUGACACUUUAUGCCCCAGACAUGUAAAGGACAUGCAAAGGACAUGCAAAUGCACACAUGUGGUUUCCUUUUCCAGAUUGGAGUCAACAGCUGAGGGCCCUCUGGACUCAGCUGUCAGAGCUGGAGAGGCAGAUGGAAGGAAUGGGGCACAGUCUCAGAGCUGGGAAGCCCCCCCCCUUCCCCCCUCCACUCCCAGGAAAGAUCUCACCUCUC